AUUGAACGCUGGCGGCAGGCCUAACACAUGCAAGUCGAACGGUAACAGGAAGCAGCUUGCUGCUUUGCUGACGAGUGGCGGACGGGUGAGUAAUGUCUGGGAAACUGCCUGAUGGAGGGGGAUAACUACUGGAAACGGUAGCUAAUACCGCAUAACGUCGCAAGACCAAAGAGGGGGACCUUCGGGCCUCUUGCCAUCGGAUGUGCCCAGAUGGGAUUAGCUAGUAGGUGGGGUAACGGCUCACCUAGGCGACGAUCCCUAGCUGGUCUGAGAGGAUGACCAGCCACACUGGAACUGAGACACGGUCCAGACUCCUACGGGAGGCAGCAGUGGGGAAUAUUGCACGAAGGGCGCAAGCCUGAUGCAGCCAUGCCGCGUGUAUGAAGAAGGCCUUCGGGUUGUAAAGUACUUUCAGCGGGGAGGAAGGGAGUAAAGUUAAUACCUUUGCUCAUUGACGUUACCCGCAGAAGAAGCACCGGCUAACUCCGUG
rnacentral:rRNA from 1 species